rnacentral:sRNA from 1 species
UUCGGUGCUGUGCUUUUAUAUUUGAUCUUUUUCAUCU